rnacentral:rRNA from 1 species
UACAGAGGGUGCAAGCGUUGUUCGGAAUUAUUGGGCGUAAAGGGCAGGUAGGUGGUCUCAUUUGUCGGGGGUGAAAGCCUUGGGCUUAACCUAAGAAGUGCCCCCGAAACGGUGGGACUAGAGUUCUAGAGAGGGUCGCGGAAUACCCGGUGUAGCGGUGAAAUGCGUAGAGAUCGGGUGGAACACCAGAGGCGAAGGCGGCGACCUGGAUAGGUACUGACACUCAACUGCGAAAGCGUGGGGAGCAAACAGG